rnacentral:lncRNA from 10 species
CAAACUAAUUUGGAUCCCAAGCCAGAACUGGCCCACAUUUAUUAAGAUUCUACACUGAAACUAAAAAGACAUGUAUGUGUCUCUCACUUAAAAGAACCCUAAGAACUCUCAGGGUACAGAGACAAUGCUAUUUAAUUCCUCAUCUCUGUACCACUGUAGCGCCUAGCACUGUCCUGCAUAUAGGAGGCAUCAAUAAAUGUUUGCCCAACUGAGUAUCAUCUCUCUACAUAAGCCCAGGGCUAUAAAAAUCAAAAGAAAUGAUGGUUAUAAAAAAUGCUUUGAAACCAUUAUUAUGAAUUAUAUAAGUAUGCAUAUGAAAGUGAUAAUUAUAUUCUGCCCCCACUUUUCCAUCUCUGACAUUCUAGAAGUGAGAGCUUUCUCUAACUUCUCUUGGACCACCCAGAAACAUGAGACCUCAGGUACAAACCAAAUUGAGCAAAUCUGAGCCUGUGGGAAAGGGGUGUGCGUGUAAAGCUGAAGCAGGUGCCUGGACGACGGCAGGGACAGUGGGAGUGUGCUACUCUUAAGGGCCCAGCAACAAACACCUGGCACGGCUGCUGACCUGGAACUCCUGCAGCUCACUCCCCUAAGCACCGCAAGCUGCAGUCCUCCCAGCUGGGGCUUUCCAGAUCACUCACCCGUUCACCUCGGCUCAAAGCAUCUCCAGAUGAACAAAGUGCGUAGAAAAACUUGGAUUCACAUUGUGGGUUUGCCACUUGUCAGCUAUUGACCAUGUAACUUCUCUCAUGGUCCUGAUCUGUGCAAUGGGAAUAGCACCCAUCUCGAAGGGGUUCCAUGAGGAUUAUAUAAAGGCACACAUAAAGCUCUACCUCCAUGGCUAUGGUCAUGGGUUGGGCAGAUUGAGGGUCACAGCUCUGCAGGAGCCCCAUGGCAUCACAAGGAAGGCACAAACCCCUCCCACACAGCACUGACUCUGGCUCCACAGCGCCCCAGCCCCACCCCACCUUCCCAGCCCCCACUUCCCACAGGAACUCUCCUCCCUGGGGCCCCACUCCCAGCAGGCACCGGCCUCCAGGAAGGUUGCGGUUUCAGGGCCAGCCCUACCUUGGUUGAUCCUUGCCCCUAGACCCAGCAGAGGACGGUGCGCGUCCAUCCUAUGGGACACGGCCGUAACCCCUUCCCCAGCCCCCACUUUAGCACACCCUGCAGAGCAGAGGCCUGACCUGAGCUGGCUCUAAACAGCUCCCUGAGGCUGGAGGCCAGACAGCCACAAGCCAGGAGCAAGAUUCUAGAAUACAAAGCUAUUAUAAUAAGGAGUUUCUCUGCAAGGCCAAAAGCCUCAGACAUUAAUAGAGGCAGAAGAUGAGUUGCAGACCCUGAAGCCCCAGUCAUGGACCUCGCCUCCUCCACCGGGCUGGUAUGACCUCUGCCUGUAAUCUUUCAGUCCUCCUGCCCAGCCAAGCUACCAAGGUGGGGUGUCCGCCAGAACCACUGGGGCCAGGCAAUAUGAUGACAGCAACAGUCCAGGCUGCAGGUAUGGAGGCCUACUUUGUACCAGGCAAAUCCCUCCAAAGGGCUCCUAUGUUAUCAGUGGGGUAGGGACACCACAACUGACCAUUUGACCCCCCCCUUCCCUUUUUUUUUUUUUUUUUUUUGAGAUGAAGUUUUGCUCUUUCACCCAAGCUAGAGUGAAAUGGCAUGAUCUCGGUUCACUGCAACCUCUGUCCCCGGGUUCAAACUUCCAUCAACUAGGCCAACUUCUUAUCAGUUUCUAUUCUUGUGGCCCAGUGGGAGGAUGGAACCAGGUGGGGAGACUUCUAUAGUUUCUGCCAAGAUCAAAUGUUGGAGAAAGCCUUUUGUAUGGCAGUUCGUGGGCUAAACUGGCCUGAGCAGCAUGGCAAGAGGUAGGUCAUAUUACAAGGCCUACAUGGAACAAGGCUGCACUCCUAAAAGGUCCAGUCACAUAGGUGCCAAUCACCUGGGAGACCUAGGGAAACAGGCAUCCCUCCC